CCACAGCGUUUUUGCAUUAUGAUCUUCACAUGAAAAAUUAUCUUUCAAACAUUCUUCUCCAUAAAACACUUCAAAAUCAGUCACUCACAUAACUCUUAUAUCACCUACACACAUCUACGAGUUUUCGGUUGUCUAUGUUAUCUUUUAUUCCCGUCUUCUAACAUUCACAAGUUACAACAUCGCUCUACUUCGUGUGUCU
rnacentral:lncRNA from 1 species